ACACACGUUCAUUUAUUAUUUUUGCCUUUAGCUCGUUGAGACUAAUGAGCUUGGAUGUUUGUUUCAGGUAUGGACUUUGAUCUUGAUGAGGUAUUGAGGACUCUGCCAGGAGGAGAUGAGGCCCUUACCCUCGUUGAUGGGGUCGAGCUUGAUCUGGAAGGAGUCAUGGACUCCAUGCCUGACCAGGGGCAGGAGGGUGAGGUGGAUCC